GGCGACGUCGCCAAGUGGUAAGGCAGAGGUCUGCAACAUCUCCAUCACCAGUUCGAAUCUGGUCGUCGCCUCCA
rnacentral:tRNA from 5 species